rnacentral:lncRNA from 1 species
AUUGAUUUUGAUGAUUACAAAGCAGAUUGAAGGGAUACAAAUAUUUUAAAUUGAAAAAGUCUUUAUGCUCUUCAAGGGCAAAAUCAUAAUUUUACUAAAAUCCUGAUUUGAUAGUAUCAUUUGGUAGAACAAAUGAUUUGUAAACUAUUGGUGAAAAUUUCAUUGUUUUUGGACUUAUAUUUUUGAAGUUAUGAAGGUUUGAAGUGCAUGAGUCGACUCAUGAGUCAACUCAUGGCACUAUGAGCUGAUUGGCAC